UAUACACUGCUUAAACAAAAACGGUUAUAGCUCACCAUUCAAAACUUGUAUUAUCUUUGAGCUUUCACCCUGCUGUAGGGGCCUUUGCACUAUCAGUAGCCAAAAAAUAAAUAAAUGUAGGAUACAUAAUGUAUAUAUUGUAACAGGCUACAGGUUUUCUCAAUUUUCUGCAUGCCUUUUUAUCAUUUCAAAAGGGGAGCCAAACUAAUGUCCUUUUUCUUACCUCCAUACUUAUUCAGAUGGUCGCAGCAAGAAGGCACCAACAUCACCGACCUCAGUUCAAAAUAAAAAAGCAAGACUUAAUUUCGAUGCACUGGAAGUCUCCCUUUGCUUCAAGGAUGUGUAAUGCCGGACUGACAUUUCAAUGGUGUGUACAUAACAGCAUAUUUGCAAGAUUAUUGCCACUGUUUGGGAAGGAGCCAACCUUUUCCAACGACAACACUUAGAAGGGCCAUAUGACUGUCUUGAUCCUGUCCCUCUAUUCGAAGGGGAAGAUGUUGCAAAUUUAACAGCUGACUGUGACUUUUAUUGGAAAUUGGGAGACCAUCUAUAUGCAGUGACACCCAAGCCUGCCUUAACUUAAAACAUCACUCAGACGGAAAACAUUACAACUGUAUGUAGACUAAACUGUGAUAAACAUCCUAAAAAAUCUGUUUCCAACCCUUUUGGAGGUCUGUACCAAAGGCUGAACGAGUCGAGAUUUCCUUUAGCCAAGUCUCCAUUAGAUUCCUCCUGCAUAGCUGAAUUUCAAAGGGAAAAUGACACCGCGGAGACCCUAUCACUGAAUUUGGAGAUAUAUGCCAUAGACAAUAGUUCAACUGUAUUUAAUGGUUUGGGACAUGUGGUAAGAUAUACCAGAGGAUGUAAAACUGUAAGUAGUGCUAGAGUUAUACAACGUAUUAAAAUGAUAGUUAACAUGUCAGCAGUUAAUAUUACCACCAGGUAUCCACAUUGUAAAAUUGUACAAUUAUGGCCGGUUGAUUCUUUGCAUAUCAAAUACAAACAUUACAAAUAUAAAAAAAGUAAACGUGAUGUUACAGGUAUUCUUGGUACUGCACUAGGUGCAGUCGGAACAGGGAUGGGAUUUCUAAACAGUGUAAAUAUAGAUACCCUACGUAGCAAAUUGAGCCGUUUGGGCACUGACCUAAAUAUGGCCUUUAAGCUACUAGCAGACCAUGAUCCCGAGCUGGGACAGAAGACUGUAGACGGUAUUUUAACUCAAACUGUCUUGUGGAGGUGGAUUGAACAUACAAAUACAUAUACAGAACA